UACAGGGGGGGGCAAGCGUUGUUCGGAAUCAUUGGGCGUAAAGAGCGUGUAGGCGGUCCGGUAAGUCAGCUGUGAAAGUCCAGGGCUCAACCCUGGGCCUGCAUCCGAUACUGGCGGGCUCGAGGCAGGUAGGGGAGAGCGGAAUUCCCGGUGUAGCGGUGAAAUGCGCAGAUAUCGGGAGGAACACCGGAUGGCGAAGGCGAGGUCUC
rnacentral:rRNA from 1 species